UGGCGAACGGGUGAGUGACACGUGGGUGAUCUGCCCUGCACUCUGGGAUAAGCCUGGGAAACUGGGUCUAAUACCGGAUAGGACCAUGCUUUAGUGUGUGUGGUGGAAAGUUUUUUCGGUGUAGGAUGAGCCCGCGGCCUAUCAGCUUGUUGGUGGGGUAAUGGCCUACCAAGGCGGCGACGGGUAGCCGGACUGAGAGGUUGGUCGGCCACAUUGGGACUGAGAUACGGCCCAG
rnacentral:rRNA from 1 species